rnacentral:lncRNA from 1 species
UCAGGCGCAGGCCUGAGACGCCUCCGGGGGAGGAGGGGCCGUGUUCCUGAUGACCACACACUCAGUGCACUUUCCCAUCUGCAUUCAUUUGGGGAGCUAAUUCUGGCUGCUGAAUGUCUUCAUUUAAAAUACACAUACAUGUAUUUUGUUCAGUGUUUUAAUUAGGCCCAAAGGAAUGUACUUUCAAAUUUUGGUACACUUCAUUUGUUAUAUUAAUGAAAAGCCACUUUAAAUCAAGUUUCCUGUUGAUAUUUCAUUAUGUAUGCUGUUCUUACACAUCUCUAAAGGAGAUUUACGUUACAGGUAGUAACCACAAAUACCGGCCGUGGACAUGCUGUUAAUUUAAAAUGUAAAGUUUUCUUUUGAGGCGCAGCAGAAAUAUAGGGUCGCUCUCUUCGCCAGGGCCGCUCACUUCCUGUGAAAAUGACCCACAGCUGUCGCCCCAUCCGGAGGCCCAACCUACAGGCAGGGAUCUGACGUUCACACCCAGGUUCACGGAGACAGAGCUCAGCACGGGGGCAGAGCAUAAUGUGCAGGGACUGGCCCCGCUCCCGACAACAUGGGCAGCCUUGACGGUGGCGCUGGCCUUGCCCUCGGCUGUCGCUGAACGUUUCCAGGUGCCAGCACUGCACCAGGCAGGUGAGGGAGGCAACAGCUGGGAUGACUGGGGCACAACCAGUUGUCUGGCCACGCUUCCUCUGGUGGCCUUCAGGGCCUUACAAACACCGACAGAUGUUACCUCCAGGACCCUCACGAGGACCCUCUGCGUCAAGCUGUCAUCGUCACUCCUGUUUUACAGGUGAGUGAACCAGUUCUCAGAGAGGUCAAGUGACAAGCCCCAUGUCACACCGCAGAUGCAGGCGUCGGGGGUACAAAGGGCCAGCAGAAGCACCAGGUCUCUAAUGACUGACACCUGUGUUUUAUAAUUUCUUACUGUCACCAAGGCAGAGGGUGGGGAGUGUUAUGGUUGACUCUUUUUCCUGGUUGACUUUUUAACAUCUUAUGAUGGAGAAAGGAAUUUCAGACAGUAUUCUGCAGCUUAAUUUUUUUUAAAGAGAAUUUUUAAGUGUAAGGCAAAUAUGUUGUUAUGCGUGGCUGGAUGGUACCAUACGCACUGAAAUGGCCUCUUUAGAGAAAGUUAAGAUAAAUGUGGCAGUUAGGUGACACAGCCC